rnacentral:lncRNA from 1 species
AUCAACUCACUUGUUGUGACUAUCUUGUAGAUCAUAGAGACACCCAAGAAAGGGGAAAAAGAGCGAAAAAUCGACACUGAUGGGAUAUUAGAGCUUGUGAAGGAUUUGCUACCUCCUUUGCCUACAACUGAUGAAACUCCUGAAGAUAAUGACGAAGAGGAAACAGAGAAUGGUGAAGAGUCGUAGUAACAUGUAAAUGAAGUUUUCUGAGUUGUUAUCUUUGUUUAGCUUAGAAUGUUUUUAUGAAUCUGAAAUUGUACUAAACUAAAUCGAGUCACAAAUUAAAAACCAAAGAAAUAAAUUGUGCACCAUAAAGGUUUGUUGUAUUGUAUCUUCAAAGUUCAAACUUCAAAC